UACGGAGGGUGCGAGCGUUGUCCGGAAUCACUGGGCGUAAAGGGCGCGUAGGCGGCGCGGAAAGUCGUCGGUGAAAGCUCGGGGCUCAACCCUGAGUCUGCCGGUGAUACUCCCGCGCUCGAGCUCACUAGAGGCAGAUGGAAUUCCGGGUGUAGCGGUGGAAUGCGUAGAGAUCCGGAAGAACACCGCUGGCGAAGGCGGUCUGCUGGGGUGAGGCUGACGCUGAUGCGCGACAGCGUGGGGAGCAAACAGG
rnacentral:rRNA from 1 species